CUGGGACUGAUUGUCUUCAAGCUGAGCACACACUGAGCACUGGGCCUGCCUUCUUCCUAACACAGGUUUUUGUAAGCUCCAGACAUUGGAUAAAGCAUUUUGAGGGAUAGGUGAAAACGAAAUCCUGCCCUUUACUCUUGAGAACUCACUCUGCUGUGGGAGGAGAGACAGGCAGGAAUCUGCAUCUAGCAAGCCUUCCAGAGGAUUCUGCUAGUGCUUCGGUUUGAGAACCAGUGCUCCUGACUUUGGUUGGCCAUUGGUGUCUGUCUGAAGAGGGUCUCCACUGCCCCAGGCAUGUUCCUUCUCUCACUGCUGCCCCCUGGGAUGGAAACUCGACAUCCCCUCUUUCCCUUCCUACUGGCACCAACGGUACCAGAGCAAACCCCACAAUCUCCAUGCCUACAUUUCUUUGACAUCCACCUGUCACCAUCUUUGGAGGAUUCAAGUGAAGUUCUUUGUCUUUUAUGGGACAGAGCUGUUUUCUAAAGUCAUAGUAACAUUCUCGGUCAAUGUAAGAUAAAAUGACUGGGAAUUUCACUUUUAAAAAUAGGUAUAUCAAAGGGAAAAAUAGUAACAGUUCUGGUGGAGAGACCUGGUGAGCAACACCUUAAACCAAGUGAUGAAAGCUGAAAUCAGCAACACUGGGAUGAACCUGCAUCACGUAAUAGCGGAUGUGAUGCCCUGACAAGAGCACCAGUCCUGUUUGCAGCAUCACUGCCCCAGAUGCAUGCCUGAAUCUGUUCCUUAGGAUACAUCAGGAAACCCAAGCUGAGGAAUGUUCUACUAAAUAAAUGAUCUCUACUCUUCAAAAACAUGCGGGUCAAGUGACAGGUGCCGAGGAGAGGGAGAGGGUCUAGGAAGACCCUAGUUGGGACAAUUGGCAGCAUUCAAAUGUGGCCUGUGCAUUUCAUACUGGUACUGUUCAAUGUGAAAUUUCUUGAUUUUUGUAAGAUUCUCCCUGGGGCCUGAUAGCUUAAAGGGAUGAGUAACUCCUCCCUUCUCAGGCCCAGUCCCAAGGUGCAAGACCACUUGCAUCAGCAGCCUGUGCCAGCAAGAUAGCAGAAGCAGGAAGAGAGCCGGCCAGAAGACACGUACCCCUGAAGAUUGAGAAACAGGCCAUCCGGGUACAACGUAGCAAUUACGUCAGACUAGGACACUUCCUGUUUAAAGGAGACUAUAAAACCUUUGUCCUGUCCUCACUUGGGGCUGACGCCAUUUUAGGCCUCAGCCCGCCUGCACCCAGGCGCUCAUUAAAACAGCAUGUUGCUCCACAUCGCCUCGUGUUGUCUGUUGGCACGCUCUCGGGAUUCGAACCGAUACAAGAACCUUACAAUUUUCUUUAUGUAAGAGAAUGUCCUUGUUCUUAAGAAAAGCCAGCUGAAAUAUUUAGAGAGUAAGUUUGCAGGAUGUCUAUAACUUACUGUCAAGUGUUUUAGACAGGAAGAGAAUCACAUAAUGGAAAAUGUAAACAAGUGAAUGUGAGAAAGGAGUACAUGAAAGUCUUUGAACUAUUGUUACAACUUUUC
rnacentral:lncRNA from 1 species